rnacentral:lncRNA from 1 species
UAGCCCUUCACAAGGAUGGAGAGGGAUGGAGGAGUCCAGCCCUGUCUCAAUGACCCAGUGCCCUAAAGACGCUCUUCCUUCCUCCAGCUUAUGAGAAGACAGACUUCUUCUCAACCAAAUCAUGCCAUUUCUCAAGAGGUUCUGCCGUCCUCAUCCUCCCGGAGUCCCACCCUCCCAGGAGAGAAACAGUGGAGAAUGGAUAUUCAUAAGACGAGACCACCCUUGUUCACUUGGAAACAGCUGGGCCACCAAGACAGGUGAGUGCACUGGAGGGCCUGCUCAUACAGUGCUGUUGGGAACUGCCCGGAAGCUUCUUUGGAACACUGUCCUCUGAUACACUUCACUUGGAAGGAGUUGGGGAAGCCAAGUCCUGUACUCAGGAACAUCUGUUGCUCCUGUGGAGUCCGUAGAAAGUGUGAGACCACACCUAUCUGUACGGCCCUCAGUGACUCCUUUCUUUGGAAAUAGCAUAACUUAGCCAAUGUAGAGUCAAGUCAAUCGAGUGAGGGCUGCCUGGAAACCUGAUACACUUGUUCUUUUAAAGCAUUGCAAAAUCUCAAGGGUGUGCUUUCUCAUAUGUUCUAGAACCCCUUGAUCAGAUUUAAUUAACAUGGUUGACGUAUCUAGUACUUGAGCAACUCAGCCUGUGCCUCAGGUUGGACCACCAAGGCUACUGUUGAUGCCUGGCCCUCCUCUCCAGCACACGCUUUGGACCACCACACAACAGAGUUGCAUACAGCAGUGGUGUCAUAGAGCUUGGAUUUCUUGUAUCUCAGUUGAAUGUUACCUAAUAUUCUAACUUCAAAUAACGAGCAGCUAAGACAGAGACACUGUCAUCAGAUGCCCUGGCCUCCAGGAAGUCCACGCGGAUGCAAGAUGUAUUGUGGAGAUUUCGGGUAUUAUGGUCCUCGUUUUUGACAGCAAGGCACUGUGACCCAUUUGACAGUUAGGUGCUAUGGGUUAGAUGACAAUGUAGUGAGUCAGGCUACGUGGAUUUGGUCACAAAGUCAUAGACCCAGCAUCUUUCUUCCAUUUGUCUUCAACUUAACCCAUGCCCUGUUGACUUGCAUAAUUCGCCAAUUUAUUAGAUAGUUCAUCCAAUGAAAGUCUUGCUUACGUUUUAUGCAAAAGAGCAAGGUCCUCAGAGUCUCACGUGUGAACAGAAGACACUGACAUUUGAUGAGCAGGCUGCACAGUGGGUGAGACAUACAACGGCCAUUUUCAAAUGAUGACUCUAUUACUGAAUAUAACCAUGGGAGUGCUGAAGGGAUUGGUGCCUGGGUAACUUGAUGAACUACUCCAGUCUGUGAGAAAUCCAUAUAAAUACAUCUCGGUUCUAACAAACAGCCCUAGGAAUAGAAGAAUAUGUGGGUGGGUGUGCUGGUGGUUGGCAGAAAUAUUAAGUGUGAACGGGUGAGUGCUUUCGAGGGGCUUAAGCCCUCACAAUGUUAUUAUAGAAGACAAUAUGAAUAUUUUCUAAAAUUCAGUGUACUGUAUCAUAAUAGCAAAAUAAUUGUGACUAUAGAGUCAAAAUAAUUAAAGUGUACGUAAAACACAGAGGGCCAUAGGAGUAUUUUUAAUGGUGAGGGCCCACACUGUUUUUGAAGGACUCUAGUUCAGUUCUUAGCAUCCAUGUCUGGGGACUGACAACCACCUGUGCCUCCAGCCCCAGGAGAAGUGACCCCCCCCCUCUUCUGGACUCCACAGGCUCGUCUACUCACAUGUACACAUAGCCCACACACACAGACAUCAUUUAAAAUCAGAGAUAUUUUUAAUGUGCAGAAUAAGAAUAAAGUAAGAAUUAAACUAGAAGUGAUGGGAAAACUUUAUAUUAUACACAAAUUUAGGUUUUAGUUUAGCCAUUAGAAAUUACCAGUGGGGACUGAGAAGAAAGAUAGUUCCACAGAAAGUUAUCCAAACUAAAGUAGUAUGCUAACAGAAAUUUUUUUUUUCAUUUAAAAUUCUGAGGUAGAGUUUCUGGUGAUAAAUGUGACUUAUUGGUUCCUAAAUAUAUUCAUCCAUAAGGGAACUAUACUACUUCUAGCC